GUUUCCCGAAAACGCACUUUCACCACAAGCUUUUAUUUUUAUCAUCUAUUAUAUCUCGCUACUCCAUGUGAUGUUGCAUAAAUGAAAAGAAUCCAUGACCUCGCGGUAGAAGUCUCCAGUUUGGCCCUGUCGUCCGUCUUCAAAGGCGCCCCUUUCUCUUGGAUCGUCUUUGAGCGGUUUUUAAACAUAAAUAUCACUCGAAUACGUGGUUAAUUUAGUACAAUAUGAUAGUGUUGCAGUUAUCUGGUGAACUUAAUUAUGGCACAAAUGAGGUAAGCUUCAACUUGCUGCCCCACCAACAUAUAAACGUCAUGUAAAUGUUUGAGAACCGUUGGAAAACGGGCCAGAAUGUACAUUUUUGGCACUUCAUACAGAUAUGUUCGGAUCGUUAGAAAAACAAACUGUUCAGCAGGUCAAUCAACGAGAAACGUUUCUUAAACGUUUACAUAACAUUUUGUGGAGUACACUACAAACAACAUUACUGAUUUUACAACACAGUGAAUAUUUAUGUUAUAAAAUAUUCUUAUUUUUAGGUAACACAUUGAAAAUAGUAGAACGGUAAUCUCGUCUCGCAUUCCAUUAAAAAAUCUAUAUUCAAGAGACCUCUCAUUCCAUCAAUGUGUUAUAAGACAAGCACAGUAGACGUAUUCAAAACGCAGCUCGAUGUAAGUGCAAUUCCAUUAGAAGUAGUUCAGUUGUAUGUACACGAAAUUUGAUCAGUCCUUUAUGAAGUAUCUCAGGCGACGUUUUAUAACAUGUACAUUACAGGCUGCGUUCCAGUUCCGAAAAUCUAUAGUAACAUGAACUAGAUUUUCAACGCUGGCAGUAAAUUUUGGAACACAGAAAUUCACAAUGCGUUUUUGUAAAUGAGGUAUAAACGUGAAACAGAAAAUCUCGUGGAAAAAAAGAAAACUUACAGUAUAAAGAGUACAAUUUGCAAAAUGAUUACACUUUACAGAGCAAGAGAAAGACGACAAGAAAAAUAUACUAAUUUAUAUAACUCUUACAUUUUAGUUACAUUUUUAACAAUUACAUAUAACAUCUGUAUUACUUCCCGCAUAACAGUUACAUAACAUCUGUAUAAUAUUUUAGUGACAUGUUAUAUUUACAUUAUAUAAUUCAUAUAUGUAGAAAAUUACUACUAACUGGUACAUGUGUGUUAUUAGGUGUACAAAUUAAUUCGCUGCCUUUUUUCAUCAAAUUCAAAGUUUAUUUACAAAAAGUCAAAUACAAGCUUAAUGUUCAAAAUAAUUUCCAUCAUUUUCUAUGACUUCAUUCCAUGUAUAUCGAGUAACUGAUGAAUGCCCUUGCGGGAAAAAAACUUAGUAAUUUUGACUCAAUAAAGUCAUCAAUGUUUUUACGGGCCUUGUCAACUUUUUUAAAAUGUGUAUCCGCCAGAUGAUUUUGAAGCGACCAAAAUAGAUGGUAAAUAGCCCUGACGGGGCUAGAUCUCUAGAAUAAGCUGCACGAGAGAGAAAUUCCCAGCCCAAUGUUUAGAUGAGAUCCUUCCUCUCUUUUGCGACAUGUGGCCGCGCGUUAUCGUGCAGCAGAAUCACUUGCCUAUUCUUCUAUUGUCAGUAAAAGGUUUUUUUACAAGUUUUAUGGGUCACCUUCUAUAUAGCACUUUCAUCCAAAGCGGAACAAAUCAUUUCGAUAGACUGAGCAGCAUUUUGAUUCAACCGAAGUGCAAGAAGGUUGCCUAAGUUGUUUUUUUUUUCAAACAACAUCGUGAUAACUACUGUUUUCUGAGGUUAUAAGACGGCAACUAUUAUAAUGCUUCUUAAAGCUUAAGGUUGGCACUUUCAAAUCAUCUUAGGAUGGAAAAAAAAUUUUAAUUUGAAUCAAAGUUACUGGACAUUAAAUGCAAAGGCACCGAAUCAAUUUAUACACGUAAUACAUUGCGUAUUACAUUCCGUUUCAUUAUAAGAACGUAACAGUUACAUAUCCAUGUUUGCGCUAGGUCAUCUCACGCUUUACUUAAUGUGGCAAAAAUGUCACGACUCGUUUGAAUUUUAUAUCAGUCAUAUUUAAUUUCAAAUCAUUUUUAAUCACUUCAGUACUUAAUAUUCGACAUACUUCCCCUACAAAAGAUAUAUACGUAAAAUGAUGAAAUUCGAUGCUGCGGUAAUUCAUAUAAAUUUGCUUAGCGAUAUUCUUCUUCUUGGUGUAGCUGUUCCAACUUUGAGAUUCCAGCACAUCACCGGAACGUAAUUACGCUUAAACGUCUACUUGAGGCCAGCGUCAUCAAAAUUGAAAUGCAUCCACUUGAUGAUACAGAGAUGUAUCCAGA